GUGGGAGUUGAGUAAGGGUAGCUCGACAGGCUCAUAAUCUGUAAGAAAAGGUUCGAAUCCUUUCUCCCUUU
rnacentral:tRNA from 1 species